GGGGUGUGUGUGCACACGUACAUAAGUCAGUGGAGGCCUCCGAAAGUUCUCUGAUGCUUUCAAGAGGGUUAGAUAGAGCUCUUAAAGAUAGCGGAGUCAAGGGAUAUGGGAGAGGGCAGGAACGGGGUACUGAUUGUGGAUGAUCAGCUAUGAUCACAUAGAAUGGCGGUGCUAGCUCAAAGGGCCGAAUGGCCUGCUCCUGCACCUAUUGUCUAUUAUACUGGAGAAAUGGGUAAGCCAUAAUGUUAUCGCUGAAUUCAAGGGCAUUUAUAGAGUUUCUGUCCACAGAGGGGAGGGGCCACUCGGAUGAGGAUACGAAAACAGUAAGAGGGGUUUUGGACGUUUCCGACCUGGACUUCCGUAGUGAUUAGAGCAUUGUUUAUUGCGGGAUAUGGCCUCAGUUAACCACAACAACCGAUUCCUUCCAUAAAGAGAACAGCAGGAGUGAAUCUGCAGAUGCUGGAAAUAAAUAAGAACACAAAAUGCUGGCAGAACUCGGCGGGCCAGACAGCAUCAGUUCUGUUUUGAAAAGCAAUUUUGCGAAAUUGUUCUGGUGUCGUGGGCAGCGCCCUUGGCACGAACAGAACCCUCAGAGAAACCAAGACAGUUCACCGAAAACGGACGAAAUCCUUGUUUUCCCUCCUCUCGGUCUUCUCUUCUGACAGCGAUCAGGGAGAAGGUACAGGAACCUGAAAACCCACAUCAGGAACAGCUUUUUCCUGUCCGCCAUCGGAAUUGGACCACCACCUCCUUAUUUUACUCGUUUGUCCAAGUGCUAUAUUUUCAAAUGUUUCCCAUUUUGCACGAAUUUGUAAAAGUCUCCGGACUCUGACGUGUGCAGAGAUUGUAAAGGCCGUAAAGAUAUGGGAGCAGAGUUGGGCCAUUCGGCCCAGUUCCGCCAUUCGAUCAUAGCUAAUUUUUUCCCCUCUCAACCCCAUUCUCUUCCCUUCUCCUCGUAACAUUUGACGACCCUUACUAAUCAAUUAUUAAUAAAAUAUUUGUUGUUUACAGUU